rnacentral:rRNA from 1 species
AACGGUAACAGGCCGCAAGGUAGCUNNCGAGUGGCGAACGGGUGAGUAAUAGCAUCGGAACGUGCCCAGUCGUGGUUUGAUAACGCAGCGAAAGCUGUGCUAAUACCGCAUACGAUCUAUGGAUGAAAGCGGGGGACCGUAAGGCCUCGCGCGAUUGGAGCGGCCGAUGUCAGAUUAGCUAGUUGGUGNGGUAAAGGCCUACCAAGCCAACGAUCUGUAGCUGGUCUGAGAGGACGACCAGCCACACUGGGACUGAGACACGGCCCAGACUCCUACGGGAGGCAAGCAAGUGGGGAAUUUUGGACAAUGGGCCGNAAGCCUGAUCCAGCAAUGCCGCGUGCAGGAAUGAAGGGCCUUCGGGUUUGUAAACUGCUUUUGACCGAAACGAAACGGUCUGGGUUAAUACCCUGGNCUAAUGACGGGUNCCGUAAGAAUAAGCACCGGCUAACUACGUGCCANUAAGCCCGCGGUAAUUACGUAANGGUUGCAAGCUUUAAUCCGGAAUUACU